rnacentral:RNase_P_RNA from 1 species
UAAGAUGGUCGCGUGAUUGCAUGGUUUGUUUGUUAGAAUAAAACAUGAGGAAAGUCCGGACUCCAAAUAGACGCGGUGCUGGUUAAUGGCCAGCGGGAAGAGGGUGUAAGUCUUCUUUUUAGGGAAAGUGCAGCAGAAAUAUACCGCCUUUUUAAAGGUAAGGGUGAAAUGGUGUGGUAAGAGCGCACCGGGUUAUUGGUGACAAUAACCGCAUAUGUAAACCCCACCGGGAGCAAGACCAAAUAGGCAUAAUCCGAGCUUUAGGGUUCCUAGCUGUCUAUAGCUAGAUAUUAUGCGGGUAGGUCGCUUGAGGUAAAUGGUAACAUUUAUCCUAGAUAAAUAAUCACGGUAGCUUUAUGCUAUACAGAAUCCGGCUUAUAGACCAUCUUUUAAU